rnacentral:lncRNA from 1 species
GGUUUUCCACACUGUUAACCGAUAAUUCUUCCGAUACAGUUAUCUAAAUUUCAAUUUCAUCCUCGAAAUGUCAUACCAAAUCAAAUCUGCAGCUUUCGUUCUCUGAGCCUUAAGUCCUCAAAUUGAAUGGAGUAACUAAAAAUGAGCCUGCAUACUCAUUAUUUGAGAUACUCAAGGUCCAUUUAUGUUGAAGUGAAGAAAUUGUGGAUUUGUUAGACUAUAACUAAGGUACGCUCGCAUGCAUGAUGAUGCCCAUAAUUUUUUUCCGUUUGCAAUGGUAAUUAAAUUCCAUUGUUCCGUUGUGGAUUUGUUAUAUGUUGAAUUGAAGAAAUUGCGGAUUUGUUAUACUGCAAGUAGCCGUUUUAACCUGCAAAGUUGUCCUUUUUCGCUUUCAUGUUCUUAAUUGAUUUUAAGAUGCCCUCUUCUUCUUUUUUCCUAUUUUUUUAAGCUACAACUAACGGGAGUUAUGCCUUAACUUACCGAUCCUAACCAAAUUUUUAAGAUACCUCAAAUUAAGGGAGUUAAUAAAAAUUCAAUCUUGUAAGUCCUACUAUUUUUAUGUUAAAAGAAAUGUAGGUUGUUAUCUCACAUGUAUAUAAUAUUAUUAGGCUAUCAAAUUAAUAAACAAGAAUUUUAUUUGGCACCUCCCUUGAAAAACAUGCUAUAUUGAUGAUUUUGUAUGUUUCUUCCUGUGGAUACUAUUGAAAAGGUGUAUGGCAGAUGCAUGACGCUACGAUUCAUAAGAAAAUCUUCUUGCAUUGGCAAUUGUUAUAAUUUUUUUCUUACUACUUAUAUUCUUUAUUCAUAUGGAUUAGUGAAGGUGGGAAACAACAUUACGUACACUUACCCUCUCCAGACCCCACUUUGUGCCACUAUACAUGGUAUGUUGUUGUUUUAAUAGUGUUGAUGGGAUUUUUUUUGGAAGAAGCAAGGUCUGUCAAGUUUUCGUUUUAAGUCAUAUUAGUUUGUUCUGUAUUCUAGAAUAUUAAGACUAAACUAUCUUACUUUCUUUUGCGAUCUUGAGGUCAAUUACCUAAGCAUAUGUGAAGUAAGAUCAAACACAUCAUAAUCAAUCACACAAGAUUGCGUUCAAUAAAGAUAUAGUUUCUCUAUGAUUGUAGUGUCUGGGCCACUUGUGUGCACCUCAAACUAAUUUCAUGAAAUACUUGUUAUAUCCCUUCAACACAAGUUACCAAGUUACUCUUAUAAUUAUCAAGAUUUAAAUUGUUUUCUCGAUAACCAAAUAAGCUCUCCAUAUGAUUAGUUUAUUUUUAAAAUAAUGAUCUCUAUGUGAAAUUUAUUGAUAAAAAUGUCUCAUUGAGGUCUAAACCACAAGAAGUUUAUGUGAGCAGUAGGCAUGUAUUUGUGAAUUUGAUGUUUUUCAAAGUGACAAUAAAGUAAAACACUUUUUAUUGAAGAGAAGAAGGGCAAAGGCCCUUACAGGAAUGAAUUAGAGACAUUUACAAAAUUAAUAUUUCGAAUGAUAUGGUUAUGACUCAAGUAGAAGGUUGGCUGGUGGAUCUUUGAUCUCUGCCUUAUUCAUGGCGAAUUGAGAAUGAAAGGAUCAUGUUAUCGUUAAUGGCCUGAUACAUAUUCAGAGUAAACAUAAAAAUUUCUUAAUAACUUGAAUCCACAGCCUUUUUGUUAUUUAUUUUGGUAAGUUGAUCGAGAGGGAAGGUACUUGAAGGCUAAUAUUUGUAAUUUCUAUGUUCUACCUAUUGGUUUAGAAUUGUAUCUAUGUGUCACAAAAUCACUGACUGAUAUAAGAACAUGAUAAAAAGAGGAUAAUAACAAAGAGGAUAAAACUUGCCUCUAAAUUGAAAAAUGAAAGAAACGCGUAGAAGUUGAUAAAAAUUGACCAUAUUAAUAUUGAAGGAAGCUUGAGAUCUUGACAUCUAACCUUACCGAGGAAAACUAAUCACAUGUAUGGGAUUUACUCGAAUUAUUUUAGAUUUGUAAGAAAAUAUGCUUUUCUUAAUUCCUAUAGUUGCUUGUGUAGCAUUGUUAUUUGCAGGAAAUACCUAGAAUCUGUAGUAAAUGAAUUAUGUUUCUAUUUCAGAAAAAGUAUUCUUUCAAGUUUCAAUUAUUUGGUGAUGGUUUUAGUCCUAUAUAGUCCUGUUGGACUGUUUUAGUUUCAAAAAAGUUUGAAAAUGCUUUCAUAGCAAUUGUUUUUUAUCUUUGUGUUGUUUACUCUGUACUUUAAACUCAAAAGAAAUACAAAGUUCUUCCAGUAGUCUGCAAGAUACAUUAGGGCAGAAAUCUUUUGCUUUCAACCUAAGUUGCUUAGAUUUGGGUGAGGGUGUUCGAUACCGAUGUGAAUUUAGAGGUCGGAUUCAUCAUGAUUCUUAUUUCAUGAUAUGAGGGUACAUAUCCAAGUACUGAUACUUAGACUAUGAUCUGGGGUAGAAAUGUGGUGGUUGAAAUAACUUUCUUCUAUUUGAAUAAAUCAAAUACUAGGUAAACUAUAUAAGCUUCUAUUUAUUUCAACAUGACAUUUUUUCUAUAUACAUUCUCACAAACGUAGUAAUUUCCUGUCUUGAUGACGUUAUCUGACAGGUCCUGAUGUUUUCGUGAAGACCACGAAUAAAGGAGACUGAUAAUGACUAGCGGGGCUAUCCCUUGAAGUAAAUACAUUACAUGGUAGUACCAAGCAAGCAAUUGGUAUGUAAUAGACACAUCCUCUUUCUGUUGUUUUGUGUAAUAAGUUUUUAUUAACUAUGCCUCUGAAAUUGAAGAUAAGAUUUUGAACAUGAAUUUGGUAUUCCACAUUCUAAUUUUGUGGUGCUGGUGGUUUUGGAUUAGCUUGUUAUUACUCUAUGUGGAUGAAUUUAUCUCAUAAACAUACUAAUAAUCUUGAGUUUAUACUGCCUGAUUUUCAAGAAGUUGGAAAAUUUCAUGUUAUACAAUUGUCACUUAGUCUUGUUAUAGCUGAUGGGAAUAAUACUUAUUCAGUUUUUCAGAUGAAAAAUCUUUCACUUUGAAAAAACUGAGAUGGGGUUCUGAAUAAUACAGUUGAGGAGUUUGAAAAUAAUGGAUUGAUGUAUUUUAGAAGGAAGUUAUGUAUACCUGUUUGGGCAAUAGGACCAAUACUUUUUCAAGAAAAUGAUACUCCUAGGAAAGAACCAGGAAUUCCUUUAGUAAAAUGUCUACCAAAGAUUCGUUGCAGUGUAGAGAUAGUAAGAAAAUGUCAACUUGUCUAUUAUGCCUACAAUUACAAGAAAGUAGACGAACGAGGUUUCAAGGUUAGUGUUUUACCUCCGUUAAGCUUUUUAUGUUUACUUUGAAUAUAUAAUAUGUGCUAGAGUAUAUAUAUAUGCUUUAAGGAUAAUAACUAUUGAUAAGAGAAGGCUUAAGCUAAAGAAAUAUCUUGCAUCUUGUAGCAAAAUGACACAGUUUCAUAGUUUUGAGUUUUGACUAUAUGUCGGAGAGGAAAGAGCUGUAAGAAAGAACUAGAAAAGCUAAAGUGAAAACAAGUCAUUCAGAAGCUCUCACUUCGGUCAUGGAGGUACUCUUAUUUUGAAAAGCUUCUUGAACUUUUAGUAAUUUUGAAAAUUUUCAGUACAUUUUUGUUAUUUUUCAAAAUAUUAUUACACUUCUGCGCAUAUGUCUUAAAGUACAUGUGUUUUAUUGUAGUACAAAUGAAAAUUUGAAGCAGUAAUUCUGUUUUUCAUCUGGCAAUGAAUUUGUAAACUCCUCUAUGAGGACGUCACUUUGUAGUAUGGGCUGAGCUAAGCAAAUAACAAAUCGAAUUACCACUGAAAUCUAUGAGCCAUUUCAAAAAAUGAAUGUCAUCUUAUGACAGCUGAGUAUGAAUUUAUAAUCGAGCUUAUAUCACUUUUUGAUUUGCAGCUCACUCUCUUGCAAUUUCUCAUCUAGCUCCCUCUACUUGAUCUCAAAUUCUACUAGGGAGUAUCUUCAAUUGAGCAUAAGAUAAAUUCUAAUGACGUAUUUAUUGUGGCAUUUAUACUUCGAAAACUUUUAUGUAAUUGUAAAAAUAGUUUAACAAUAUUAUCAUACCUUAUCCCUUUUUAUUGUACAACUACAAUAUUUGUUAUGAUAAUCAAACUACAAAAAAGAAGUCGUAA